rnacentral:rRNA from 1 species
AGAUUGAACGCUGGCGGCAGGCCUAACACAUGCAAGUCGAGCGGUAGAGAGGUGCUUGCACCUCUUGAGAGCGGCGGACGGGUGAGUAAUGCCUAGGAAUCUGCCUAGUGGUGGGGGAUAACGUUCGGAAACGGACGCUAAUACCGCAUACGUCCUACGGGAGAAAGCGGGGGACCUUCGGGCCUCGCGCCAUUAGAUGAGCCUAGGUCGGAUUAGCUAGUUGGUGAGGUAAUGGCUCACCAAGGCGACGGAUCCGUAACUGGUCUGAGAGGAUGAUCAGUCACACUGGAACUGAGACACGGUCCAGACUCCUACGGGAGCAGCAGUGGGGAAUAUUGGACAA